rnacentral:rRNA from 1 species
CUAGUCUCGGAGACAUUACCGAGUUUUGAGAGGGCUUGAUGCUGGCAUCUCUUUGGGGGUGUAUGUGCUCCGCCCCGCUCUCAAAUCCGCUCAACAACUGUACACUUUCAAAGUUGUAGUCCUCCGGAAUGGGAGUCCUAAGUCAUUCUUGGCUUGUUGGGACUGCACUUUGCCAUUUAUCACAAAGAAAUUAUAUUGUUUUGUACAAUGUCUAACCUCUUAGUACGUGAAACUUAAUACAACUUUCAACAACGGAUCUCUUGGAUCUCGCAUCGAUGAGGAACUUAGCGAAAUGCGAGAAUUAAUGUGAAUUGCAAAAUUCAUUGAAUCAUCUAAUCUUUGAACGCACCUUGCGGUCCUUGGGAUUCCGAGGACCAUGCCUGCUUGAGUGUCUAGAAAUUAUCAACUCCCAUUCUUUGAUGAUUGGUGACCUUGGACUUGGGGAUUGCUGGGGCAAGUCUGGUUCCCUUGAAUGAGUUAUCUGGAAUUUGAUUCUCAGCAUAUAUGCGGUGAGAUAAUGACAUCACUGGGUACCUCGGAUUGCCUGGGUUCUAAUUGUCCUUCACGGACAACUAGUUCUUUUGGACUCUAAUCAGGUAUGCAUAACCCGCGAAACUUAAACAUAUCAAAA